CUCCCCUAUCCUCAGUUGUCCUCCAAGGCCGUCUCUCGACUCUUUUUUCCGGGUUAAUUACGUUUCGCAUUAAAGCAAAACCCAGCCCCGGAUGUGCCCUGCACGGAGUUGAACACAAAGGCCGUCAAGCCAUCGUCAGCCACAAGAACCAGGAACUAACCUCUACUCAUUGAUUGCUCAGACUUGUGCAUCCAUUGAUAGCGACAGGAACCAGCUUAACACAGUGCAAGAUGCAAAGGACACGCUUUGAAUCCCACACUGGGAGCCAGAGGCAGGCGGAUCUCCGUGGGUUCCAGGCCAGCCUGCUCUGGGUUUCCCCUCCGAAAACCCCCUAUCCCAUCCCCCUCCCCCUGAUCCCAACCCACCCACUCCUGCUUCCCUGUCCUGGCAUUCCCCCACACUGGGGCAUCGAGCCUUCCCAGGACCAAGGGCCUCUCAGCUCAUUGAUGUCCGACAAGGCCAUCCUCUGCUACAUAUGCGUCUGGAGCCAUGGGUCCCUCCAUGUGUACUCUUCAGUUGGCGGGGAAUUUCUCCAAGAAUAUUAUGCCCCAAGCAGGAAAAGUACCAACGUGAGGGGGAGCUUGUCUCUCAUAAAGAGAUCUAAGAACUUGUCAGGCUGCCUUCUAGGAUGAGACUGAAACCCAGACCAUGAGGAGACAACGUGGGCGGAAUGGCGCCUUGACCUUUAAUCUCAACCCAGAACCAGAAGGCUACUAGGGGAGAGGAGCUGCUGGAUCUCCUUGGCUGUCUUCCCAACAUACCCACAUUAAAUAAAUCUCCCUUUCCUAUUUUCCAGUAUUAAUAAAUAAACAAACAAA